rnacentral:rRNA from 1 species
GGGGACAUGCGGGUGCUACACAUGCAGUCGAACGAUGAACCACCUUCGGGUGGGGAUUAGUGGCGAACGGGUGAGUAACACGUGGGCAAUCUGCCCUUCACUCUGGGACAAGCCCUGGAAACGGGGUCUAAUACCGGAUACUGACCUGCCAAGGCAUCUUGGCGGGUCGAAAGCUCCGGCGGUGAAGGAUGAGCCCGCGGCCUAUCAGCUUGUUGGUGAGGUAAUGGCUCACCAAGGCGACGACGGGUAGCCGGCCUGAGAGGGCGACCGGCCACACUGGGACUGAGACACGGCCCAGACUCCUACGGGAGGCAGCAGUGGGGAAUAUUGCACAAUGGGCGAAAGCCUGAUGCAGCGACGCCGCGUGAGGGAUGACGGCCUUCGGGUUGUAAACCUCUUUCAGCAGGGAAGAAGCGAAAGUGACGGUACCUGCAGAAGAAGCGCCGGCUAACUACGUGCCAGCAGCCGCGGUAAUACGUAGGGCGCAAGCGUUGUCCGGAAUUAUUGGGCGUAAAGAGCUCGUAGGCGGCUUGUCACGUCGGUUGUGAAAGCCCGGGGCUUAACCCCGGGUCUGCAGUCGAUACGGGCAGGCUAGAGUUCGGUAGGGGAGAUCGGAAUUCCUGGUGUAGCGGUGAAAUGCGCAGAUAUCAGGAGGAACACCGGUGGCGAAGGCGGAUCUCUGGGCCGAUACUGACGCUGA